GACGAACGCUGGCGGCGUGCUUAACACAUGCAAGUCGAACGGAGAGGCCCUUCGGGGUACUCGAGUGGCGAACGGGUGAGUAACACGUGGGUGAUCUGCCCUGCACUUUGGGAUAAGCCUGGGAAACUGGGUCUAAUACCGAAUAGGACCACGCGCUUCAUGGUGUGUGGUGGAAAGCUUUUGCGGUGUGGGAUGGGCCCGCGGCCUAUCAGCUUGUUGGUGGGGUAAUGGCCUACCAAGGCGACGACGGGUAGCCGGCCUGAGAGGGUGACCGGCCACACUGGGACUGAGAUACGCCCCAGACUCCUACGGGAGGCAGCAGUGGGGAAUAUUGCACAAUGGGCGCAAGCCUGAUGCAGCGACGCCGCGUGAGGGAUGACGGCCUUCGGGUUGUAAACCUCUUUCACCAGGGACGAAGCGUAAGUGACGGUACCUGGAGAAGAAGCACCGGCCAACUACGUG
rnacentral:rRNA from 1 species